rnacentral:rRNA from 1 species
CGGUUAAGUUAGAAAGGGCGCACGGUGGAUGCCUUGGCACUAGGAGCCGAUGAAGGACGGGACGAACACCGAUAUGCUUCGGGGAGCUGUAAGCAAGCUUUGAUCCGGAGAUUUCCGAAUGGGGAAACCCACCACUCGUAAUGGAGUGGUAUCCAUAUCUGAAUACAUAGGAUAUGAGAAGGCAGACCCGGGGAACUGAAACAUCUAAGUACCCGGAGGAAGAGAAAGCAAAUGCGAUUCCCUGAGUAGCGGCGAGCGAAACGGGACCAGCCCAAACCAAGAGGCUUGCCUCUUGGGGUUGUAGGACACUCUGUACGGAGUUACAAAGGAACGAGGUAGAUGAAGAGGUCUGGAAAGGCCCGCCAUAGGAGGUAACAGCCCUGUAGUCAAAACUUCGUUCUCUCCUGAGUGGAUCCUGAGUACGGCGGAACACGUGAAAUUCCGUCGGAAUCCGGGAGGACCAUCUCCCAAGGCUAAAUACUCCCUAGUGACCGAUAGUGAACCAGUACCGUGAGGGAAAGGUGAAAAGCACCCCGGAAGGGGAGUGAAAGAGAUCCUGAAACCGUGUGCCUACAAGUAGUCAGAGCCCGUUAACGGGUGAUGGCGUGCCUUUUGUAGAAUGAACCGGCGAGUUACGAUCCCGUGCAAGGUUAAGCAGAAGAUGCGGAGCCGCAGCGAAAGCGAGUCUGAAUAGGGCGAAUUGAGUACGUGGUCGUAGACCCGAAACCAGGUGAUCUACCCAUGUCCAGGGUGAAGUUCAGGUAACACUGAAUGGAGGCCCGAACCCACGCACGUUGAAAAGUGCGGGGAUGAGGUGUGGGUAGGGGUGAAAUGCCAAUCGAACCUGGAGAUAGCUGGUUCUCUCCGAAAUAGCUUUAGGGCUAGCCUCAAGGUAAGAGUCUCGGAGGUAGAGCACUGAUUGGACUAGGGGCCCCUACCGGGUUACCGAAUUCAGUCAAACUCCGAAUGCCGAUGACUUAUCCUUGGGAGUCAGACUGCGAGUGAUAAGAUCCGUAGUCGAAAGGGAAACAGCCCAGACCGCCAGCUAAGGUCCCAAAGUAUACGUUAAGUGGAAAGGAUGUGGAGUUGCUUAGACAACCAGGAUGUUGGCUUAGAAGCAGCCACCAUUUAAAGAGUGCGUAAUAGCUCACUGGUCGAGUGACUCUGCGCCGAAAAUGUACCGGGGCUAAACGUAUCACCGAAGCUGCGGACUGUUCUUCGAACAGUGGUAGGAGAGCGUUCUAAGGGCUGUGAAGCAAGACCGGAAGGACUUGUGGAGCGCUUAGAAGUGAGAAUGCCGGUAUGAGUAGCGAAAGAGGGGUGAGAAUCCCCUCCACCGAAUGCCUAAGGUUUCCUGAGGAAGGCUCGUCCGCUCAGGGUUAGUCGGGACCUAAGCCGAGGCCGAAAGGCGUAGGCGAUGGAUAACAGGUUGAUAUUCCUGUACCACCUCCUCACCAUUUGAGCAAUGGGGGGACGCAGGAGGAUAGGGUAAGCGCGGUAUUGGAUAUCCGCGUCCAAGCAGUUAGGCUGGGAAAUAGGCAAAUCCGUUUCCCGUGAAGGCUGAGCUGUGAUGGCGAGCGAAUUAUAGUAGCGAAGUUCCUGAUUCCACACUGCCAAGAAAAGCCUCUAGCGAGGUGAGAGGUGCCCGUACCGCAAACCGACACAGGUAGGCGAGGAGAGAAUCCUAAGGUGAUCGAGAGAACUCUCGUUAAGGAACUCGGCAAAAUGACCCCGUAACUUCGGGAGAAGGGGUGCUCUGUUAGGGUGCAAGCCCGAGAGAGCCGCAGUGAAUAGGCCCAGGCGACUGUUUAGCAAAAACACAGGUCUCUGCGAAGCCGUAAGGCGAAGUAUAGGGGCUGACGCCUGCCCGGUGCUGGAAGGUUAAGAGGAGCGCUUAGCGUAAGCGAAGGUGCGAAUUGAAGCCCCAGUAAACGGCGGCCGUAACUAUAACGGUCCUAAGGUAGCGAAAUUCCUUGUCGGGUAAGUUCCGACCCGCACGAAAGGCGCAACGAUCUGGGCACUGUCUCAACGAGAGACUCGGUGAAAUUAUAGUACCUGUGAAGAUGCAGGUUACCCGCGACAGGACGGAAAGACCCCGUGGAGCUUUACUGCAGCCUGAUAUUGAAUGUUGGUACAGCUUGUACAGGAUAGGUAGGAGCCUUGGAAACCGGAGCGCCAGCUUCGGUGGAGGCAUCGGUGGGAUACUACCCUGGCUGUAUUGACCUUCUAACCCGCCGCCCUUAUCGGGCGGGGAGACAGUGUCAGGUGGGCAGUUUGACUGGGGCGGUCGCCUCCUAAAAGGUAACGGAGGCGCCCAAAGGUUCCCUCAGAAUGGUUGGAAAUCAUUCGCAGAGUGUAAAGGCACAAGGGAGCUUGACUGCGAGACCUACAAGUCGAGCAGGGACGAAAGUCGGGCUUAGUGAUCCGGUGGUUCCGCAUGGAAGGGCCAUCGCUCAACGGAUAAAAGCUACCCCGGGGAUAACAGGCUUAUCUCCCCCAAGAGUCCACAUCGACGGGGAGGUUUGGCACCUCGAUGUCGGCUCAUCGCAUCCUGGGGCUGUAGUCGGUCCCAAGGGUUGGGCUGUUCGCCCAUUAAAGCGGUACGCGAGCUGGGUUCAGAACGUCGUGAGACAGUUCGGUCCCUAUCCGUCGCGGGCGCAGGAAAUUUGAGAGGAGCUGUUCUUAGUACGAGAGGACCGGGAUGGACGCACCGCUGGUGUACCAGUUGUUCUGCCAAGGGCAUCGCUGGGUAGCUAUGUGCGGACGGGAUAAGUGCUGAAAGCAUCUAAGCAUGAAGCCCCCCUCAAGAUGAGAUUUCCCAUUCCGCAAGGAAGUAAGAUCCCUGAAAGAUGAUCAGGUUGAUAGGUCUGAGGUGGAAGUGUGGCGACACAUGGAGCUGACAGAUACUAAUCGAUCGAGGACUUAACCAAUUU